UUCCUUUAUGUUUUGCUCAUUACUGACUGGAUAGUUUCAUACUAUGUAUCACAUUUUUUUCAGCUUCUACAUCUGAAACUUAGGCAAUGCAUGUGCAAGAACUCUCUACAUCUUGAUGAGCUUUUUUUCAGACCAGGUAGAGCAGAGCCAUGGAAGAAAUACUCCUCAGAUAAUUUUGGUUUAGUCCUCUCCCUAGUUUAAACCUGCUGUGCAAGCUGACUGAAAGAAAUCUUAUAAAAUGGAGUUCUCGCUCAUAAUCAGAAGAUAGCAAAUGGCAUACAAAAGCAAGGCAGUUCGAAUUUCCCAGCUUCAGCCCAGUGGCUAACCCUCAUCAAGCAUUGUUCAGAACAAUUUUCCAACUCAUUGACGACAUUCUCCAGUUUCUG
rnacentral:lncRNA from 1 species